rnacentral:tRNA from 1 species
AGCGGAAGUAGCUCAGUGGUAGAGCAUCGGCUUCCCAAGCCGAGGGUCGCGGGUUCGAAUCCCGUUUUCCGCUCC